UACGAAGGGGGGCUAGCGUUGCUCGGAAUCACUGGGCGUAAAGCGCACGUAGGCGGCUUGUUAAGUCAGGGGUGAAAUCCUGGAGCUCAACUCCAGAACUGCCUUUGAUACUGGCGAGCUCGAGUCCGGGAGAGGUGAGUGGAACUGCGAGUGUAGAGGUGAAAUUCGUAGAUAUUCGCAAGAACACCAGUGGCGAAGGCGGCUCACUGGCCCGGUACUGACGCUGAGGUGCGAAAGCGUGGGGAGCAAACAGG
rnacentral:rRNA from 1 species